UUUUUUGGUCUCUGUGUGC
rnacentral:piRNA from 1 species